rnacentral:rRNA from 2 species
AGCGUACACGGUGGAUGCCCUGGCAGUCAGAGGCGAUGAAGGACGUGCUAAUCUGCGAUAAGCGUCGGUAAGGUGAUAUGAACCGUUAUAACCGGCGAUUUCCGAAUGGGGAAACCCAGUGUGUUUCGACACACUAUCAUUAACUGAAUCCAUAGGUUAAUGAGGCGAACCGGGGGAACUGAAACAUCUAAGUACCCCGAGGAAAAGAAAUCAACCGAGAUUCCCCCAGUAGCGGCGAGCGAACGGGGAGCAGCCCAGAGCCUGAAUCAGUGUGUGUGUUAGUGGAAGCGUCUGGAAAGGCGCGCGAUACAGGGUGACAGCCCCGUACACAAAAAUGCACAUGCUGUGAGCUCGAUGAGUAGGGCGGGACACGUGGUAUCCUGUCUGAAUAUGGGGGGACCAUCCUCCAAGGCUAAAUACUCCUGACUGACCGAUAGUGAACCAGUACCGUGAGGGAAAGGCGAAAAGAACCCCGGCGAGGGGAGUGAAAAAGAACCUGAAACCGUGUACGUACAAGCAGUGGGAGCACGCUUAGGCGUGUGACUGCGUACCUUUUGUAUAAUGGGUCAGCGACUUAUAUUCUGUAGCAAGGUUAACCGAAUAGGGGAGCCGAAGGGAAACCGAGUCUUAACUGGGCGUUAAGUUGCAGGGUAUAGACCCGAAACCCGGUGAUCUAGCCAUGGGCAGGUUGAAGGUUGGGUAACACUAACUGGAGGACCGAACCGACUAAUGUUGAAAAAUUAGCGGAUGACUUGUGGCUGGGGGUGAAAGGCCAAUCAAACCGGGAGAUAGCUGGUUCUCCCCGAAAGCUAUUUAGGUAGCGCCUCGUGAAUUCAUCUCCGGGGGUAGAGCACUGUUUCGGCAAGGGGGUCAUCCCGACUUACCAACCCGAUGCAAACUGCGAAUACCGGAGAAUGUUAUCACGGGAGACACACGGCGGGUGCUAACGUCCGUCGUGAAGAGGGAAACAACCCAGACCGCCAGCUAAGGUCCCAAAGUCAUGGUUAAGUGGGAAACGAUGUGGGAAGGCCCAGACAGCCAGGAUGUUGGCUUAGAAGCAGCCAUCAUUUAAAGAAAGCGUAAUAGCUCACUGGUCGAGUCGGCCUGCGCGGAAGAUGUAACGGGGCUAAACCAUGCACCGAAGCUGCGGCAGCGACGCUUAUGCGUUGUUGGGUAGGGGAGCGUUCUGUAAGCCUGUGAAGGUGUGCUGUGAGGCAUGCUGGAGGUAUCAGAAGUGCGAAUGCUGACAUAAGUAACGAUAAAGCGGGUGAAAAGCCCGCUCGCCGGAAGACCAAGGGUUCCUGUCCAACGUUAAUCGGGGCAGGGUGAGUCGACCCCUAAGGCGAGGCCGAAAGGCGUAGUCGAUGGGAAACAGGUUAAUAUUCCUGUACUUGGUGUUACUGCGAAGGGGGGACGGAGAAGGCUAUGUUGGCCGGGCGACGGUUGUCCCGGUUUAAGCGUGUAGGCUGGUUUUCCAGGCAAAUCCGGAAAAUCAAGGCUGAGGCGUGAUGACGAGGCACUACGGUGCUGAAGCAACAAAUGCCCUGCUUCCAGGAAAAGCCUCUAAGCAUCAGGUAACAUCAAAUCGUACCCCAAACCGACACAGGUGGUCAGGUAGAGAAUACCAAGGCGCUUGAGAGAACUCGGGUGAAGGAACUAGGCAAAAUGGUGCCGUAACUUCGGGAGAAGGCACGCUGAUAUGUAGGUGAAGUCCCUCGCGGAUGGAGCUGAAAUCAGUCGAAGAUACCAGCUGGCUGCAACUGUUUAUUAAAAACACAGCACUGUGCAAACACGAAAGUGGACGUAUACGGUGUGACGCCUGCCCGGUGCCGGAAGGUUAAUUGAUGGGGUCAGCGCAAGCGAAGCUCUUGAUCGAAGCCCCGGUAAACGGCGGCCGUAACUAUAACGGUCCUAAGGUAGCGAAAUUCCUUGUCGGGUAAGUUCCGACCUGCACGAAUGGCGUAAUGAUGGCCAGGCUGUCUCCACCCGAGACUCAGUGAAAUUGAACUCGCUGUGAAGAUGCAGUGUACCCGCGGCAAGACGGAAAGACCCCGUGAACCUUUACUAUAGCUUGACACUGAACAUUGAGCCUUGAUGUGUAGGAUAGGUGGGAGGCUUAGAAGUGUGGACGCCAGUCUGCAUGGAGCCGACCUUGAAAUACCACCCUUUAAUGUUUGAUGUUCUAACGUUGACCCGUAAUCCGGGUUGCGGACAGUGUCUGGUGGGUAGUUUGACUGGGGCGGUCUCCUCCUAAAGAGUAACGGAGGAGCACGAAGGUUGGCUAAUCCUGGUCGGACAUCAGGAGGUUAGUGCAAUGGCAUAAGCCAGCUUGACUGCGAGCGUGACGGCGCGAGCAGGUGCGAAAGCAGGUCAUAGUGAUCCGGUGGUUCUGAAUGGAAGGGCCAUCGCUCAACGGAUAAAAGGUACUCCGGGGAUAACAGGCUGAUACCGCCCAAGAGUUCAUAUCGACGGCGGUGUUUGGCACCUCGAUGUCGGCUCAUCACAUCCUGGGGCUGAAGUAGGUCCCAAGGGUAUGGCUGUUCGCCAUUUAAAGUGGUACGCGAGCUGGGUUUAGAACGUCGUGAGACAGUUCGGUCCCUAUCUGCCGUGGGCGCUGGAGAACUGAGGGGGGCUGCUCCUAGUACGAGAGGACCGGAGUGGACGCAUCACUGGUGUUCGGGUUGUCAUGCCAAUGGCACUGCCCGGUAGCUAAAUGCGGAAGAGAUAAGUGCUGAAAGCAUCUAAGCACGAAACUUGCCCCGAGAUGAGUUCUCCCUGACUCCUUGA